rnacentral:rRNA from 1 species
ACGGAGGAUGCAAGCGUUAUCCGGAUUCAUUGGGUUUAAAGGGUGCGCAGGCGGAAUGAUAAGUCAGUGGUGAAAUCCUACGGAUCAACUGUAGAACUGCUAUUGAUACUGUCGUUCUUGAGUACACUUGGAGUGGGCGGAAUGUGUCAUGUAUCGAUGAAAUGCUUAGAUAUGACACAGAACACCGAUCGCGUAGGCAUCUCACUAAAUUGUAACUAACGCUCAGGCACGAAAGCGUGGUGAUCAAACAG